CGGUUGAUCCUGCCGGAGGGUCACUGCUAUCAGAGUUCGAUUAAGCCAUGCUAGUCGCGAGGGUUCGGCCCUCGGCGUCCGGCUCAGUAACAUGUAGUCAAUCUACCCUAAAGUGGGGAAUAACCUCGGGAAACUGAGGAUAAUGCCCCAUAGGUCUAGAGUCCUGGAAUGGACCUUGGCCCAAAGCUUCGGCGCUUUAGGAUGAGACUGCAUCCUAUCAAGCUGUUGGUGGGGUAACGGCCCACCAAACUAGUGACGGGUAUGGGUCUUGGGAGAGAUAGCCCAGAGUUGGGGACUGAGACAAGGCCCCAGGCCCUACGGGGUGCAGCAGGUGCGAAACCUCCACAAUCCUCGAAAGAGGGAUGGGGGAACUCUGAGUGCUUAUCCUUUGGGUAAGCUUUUCUGAAGUCCAAAAAGCUUCGGGAAUAAGGGCUGGGCAAGAUCGGUGCCAGCAGCCGCGGUAAUCCCGGCGGCCCAAGUGGUGGCCAUUUUUACUGGGUUUGAAGCGUCCGUAGCUGGACUAGUCCGUCCCUGGUUAAAUCCUCAGGCUUAACCUGAGGGCUGCUGGGGAUACUACUAGUCUUGGGACCGGAAGAGGACAGGGGUACUUCAUGGGUAGGGGUAAAAUCCGUUAAUCCGUGAAGGACCACCGAUAGCGAAGGCACCUGUCUGGUACGGGUCCGACAGUGAGGGACGAGAGCCAGGGGAGCAAAUCGGAUUAGAUACCCGAGUAGUCCUGGCUGUAAACGAUGCGAACUAGGUGCAGCGCACCCUUCGUGGAGUGUGCGGUGCCGCAGGGAAACCAUUAAGUUCGCCACCUGGGGAGUACGUUCGCAAGAAUGAAACUUAAAGGAAUUGGCGGGGGAGCAC
rnacentral:rRNA from 1 species